rnacentral:rRNA from 1 species
GGGCGUAAAGAGCGCGUAGGCGGGAUAGUCAGUCAGGUGUGAAAUCCUAUGGCUUAACCAUAGAACUGCAUUUGAAACUACUAUUCUAGAGUGUGGGAGAGGUAGGUGGAAUUCUUGGUGUAGGGGUAAAAUCCGUAGAGAUCAAGAGGAAUACUCAUUGCGAAGGCGACCUGCUGGAACAUUACUGACGCUGAUUGCGCGAAAGCGUGGGGAGCAAACAGGAUUAGAUACCCUGGUAGUCCACGCCCUAAACGAUGGAUGCUAGUUGUUGGAGGGCUUAGUCUCUCCAGUAAUGCAGCUAACGCAUUAAGCAUCCCGCCUGGGGAGUACGGUCGCAAGAUUAAAACUCAAAGGAAUAGACGGGGACCCGCACAAGCGGUGGAGCAUGUGGUUUAAUUCGAAGAUACACGAAGAACCUUACCUAGGCUUGACAUUGAGAGAAUCCGCUAGAAAUAGUGGAGUGUCUGGCUUGCUAGACCUUGAAAACAGGUGCUGCACGGCUGUCGUCAGCUCGUGUCGUGAGAUGUUGGGUUAAGUCCCGCAACGAGCGCAACCCCCUUUCUUAGUUGCUAACAGGUCAUGCUGAGAACUCUAAGGAUACUGCCUCCGUAAGGAGGAGGAAGGUGGGGACGACGUCAAGUCAUCAUGGCCCUUACGCCUAGGGCUACACACGUGCUACAAUGGGGUGCACAAAGAGAAGCAAUACUGCGAAGUGGAGCCAAUCUUCAAAACGCCUCUCAGUUCGGAUUGUAGGCUGCAACUCGCCUGCAUGAAGCUGGAAUCGCUAGUAAUCGCAAAUCAGCCAUGUUGCGGUGAAUACGUUCCCGGGUCUUGUACUCACCGCCCGUCACACCAUGGGAGUUGUGUUUGCCUUAAGUCAGGAUGCUAAAUUGGCUACUGCCCACGGCACACACAGCGACUGGGGUGAAGUCGUAACAAGGUAACCGUAGGUGAACCUGCGGUUGGAUCACCU